GUAAUCGCCACAUAACAAGCCAGAGCCUUCGCUACACAGAGUUUCAGCAAAUCACGGAAAUAAGGGUAAAGAACAGCCAUCGAAUCUGACUUGGUACGCUUAACAACCCUGAAAGUGACCCCCUCCGGAGAAAGGGAAAAAGCGUUGACAUUGAAGGCCCGGACAUCAGAAACACGUCUGAACGAGACAAGACACAGUAAGAGGGCAAAUUUGGCCGAAAGCUGAUGAAGGGAAAGGUCCUGAUUAUCAGGCCAAUCCCAUAGGAACGAUAAAACCGUGUGUACAUUCCAGAGGGAAGAAUACU